AGGAGAUAAGAGCAAGAGAAAGUGAACUUGGUGACUUAGAGGAAAUCACAAAACUCAUCCUUCUUCUUCCUCCUUGGCCGUGUAUCUUCAUUCUUCUUUCUCUUCCAUCACCAAAAUUUCAUACCUUCACCAAAUUGAUCCAUCUUCAGCUUGUCGGAAACAUGAGAGUUCAUGGAUCAUCAUCCCUAAGCUAGGGCAAGCAAGAAAGCAAAGCAAGAGGGUGCUAGGGCUUGAGAAAGAGAGGAGCUCAUGAGAGCUAGAACAUGAGGAGCUUGAGGAUUCAUCAAACUUAAGAUAACCAGAUUGACAGGUUAUAUGUUAGCUUGCCCGAGUAGCGUGGUGAAGCUCCGCUCUGAUUGUGACACGGGGAGAAAAGGGGUUUUGUACAUAUAUAUAUAUAAAUUCCUUUAGAAAAUUACUCUGUAAUUGCUUAUGUUUUCAUAUAAGAAUUAUUCUUGGUGAAAAGUAUUGGUUUUGUAUAACUUAUAACGCAUCGUGUUGAUGCGGAGGAUUUUGUAUUUUGUGAUAUUCAAACCAGCGCUUUAUAAUCAGAUUUUCAAUUUUUCCGCUG